CACGUAUGGGGCGAGCGUUGUUCGGAUUUAUUGGGUGUAAAGGGCGCGUAGGCGGUUUUGCAAGCCUGGUGUGAAAUAUCUCAGCUCAACUGAGGGAACGCGCUGGGAACUGCAAGGCUAGAGUUCGAGAGGGGAGACUGGAAUUCCUGGUGUAGGGGUGAAAUCUGUAGAUAUCAGGAAGAACACCGGUGGCGAAGGCGAGUCUCUGGCUCUGGACUGACGCUGAGGCGCGAAAGCGUAGGGAGCAAACAGG
rnacentral:rRNA from 1 species